rnacentral:rRNA from 1 species
CCCUUAGAUGUUCUGGGCAGCACGCGCGCUACAAUGGUCUUCGCAAACGGAUGCAUUCUCGAAGGAGAAUGCCAAUCUUGGAAUCUAUGCCUUGGUCGGGGCAGUUGCUUGCAAUUUUUCGACUCGAACCAGGAAUUCCUUGUAAUCGUGAUUCAUCACAUCACGAUGAAUACGUCCCUGCCCUUUGUACACACCGCCCGUCGCUCCUACCGAUCGAAGAGUUAGGUGAAUUGUUUUGAUCGAUAAGAUUUGACUAUGGUCAACUCUCGUUGUGAAAUUCUGUGAAGCUGACUGUUUAGAGGAAGGAAAAGUCGUAACA